UGGGGAAUCUUGCACAAUGGGGGAAACCCUGAUGCAGCGACGCCGCGUGAGUGAUGAAGUCCUUCGGGAUGUAAAGCUCUUUCGACAGGGACGAUUAUGACGGUACCUGGAGAAGAAGCUGCGGCUAACUACGUGCCAGCAGCCGCGGUAAUACGUAGGCAGCGAACGUUGUUCGGAGUUACUGGGCGUAAAGGGCGCGUAGGCGGUCCUGUCAGUCCCUUGUGAAAUCCCCCGGCUCAACUGGGGAACUGCAAGGGAUACAGCAGGGCUUGAGUUCGGGAGAGGGAAGCGGAAUUCCGCGUGUAGCAGUGAAAUGCGUAGAUAUGCGGAGGAACACCGAUGGCGAAGGCAGUCCCCUGGGCCUGUACUGACGCUCAUGCACGAAAGCGUGGGGAGCAAACAGGAUUAGAUACCCCAGUAGUCCCUGAGCGGGCUGGCAAGGCGC
rnacentral:rRNA from 1 species